CCAAACCAACAAGCUUGCUUGUUGGGGUUGUAGGACACUCUAUACGGAGUUACAAAGGACGACAUUAGACGAAUCAUCUGGAAAGAUGAAUCAAAGAAGGUAAUAAUCCUGUAGUCGAAAAUGUUGUCUCUCUUGAGUGGAUCCUGAGUACGACGGAGCACGUGAAAUUCCGUCGGAAUCUGGGAGGACCAUCUCCUAAGGCUAAAUACUCUCUAGUGACCGAUAGUGAACCAGUACCGUGAGGGAAAGGUGAAAAGCACCCCGGAAGGGGAGUGAAAUAGAACCUGAAACCGUGUGCUUACAAGUAGUCAGAGCCCGUUAAUGGGUGAUGGCGUGCCUUUUGUAGAAUGAACCGGCGAGUUAAGAUUUGAUGCAAGGUUAAGCAGUAAAUGUGGAGCCGUAGCGAAAGCGAGUCUGAAUAGGGCGUUUAGUAUUUGGUCGUAGACCCGAAACCAGGUGAUCUACCCUUGGUCAGGUUGAAGUUCAGGUAACACUGAAUGGAGGACCGAACCGACUUACGUUGAAAAGUGAGCGGAUGAACUGAGGGUAGCGGAGAAAUUCCAAUCGAACCUGGAGAUAGCUGGUUCUCUCCGAAAUAGCUUUAGGGCUAGCCUCAAGUGAUGAUUAUUGGAGGUAGAGCACUGUUUGGACGAGGGGCCCCUCUCGGGUUACCGAAUUCAGACAAACUCCGAAUGCCAAUUAAUUUAACUUGGGAGUCAGAACAUGGGUGAUAAGGUCCGUGUUCGAAAGGGAAACAGCCCAGACCACCAGCUAAGGUCCCAAAAUAUAUGUUAAGUGGAAAAGGAUGUGGCGUUGCCCAGACAACUAGGAUGUUGGCUUAGAAGCAGCCAUCAUUUAAAGAGUGCGUAAUAGCUCACUAGUCGAGUGACACUGCGCCGAAAAUGUACCGGGGCUAAACAUAUUACCGAAGCUGUGGAUUGUCCUUUGGACAAUGGUAGGAGAGCGUUCUAAGGGCGUUGAAGCAUGAUCGUAAGGACAUGUGGAGCGCUUAGAAGUGAGAAUGCCGGUGUGAGUAGCGAAAGACGGGUGAGAAUCCCGUCCACCGAUUGACUAAGGUUUCCAGAGGAAGGCUCGUCCGCUCUGGGUUAGUCGGGUCCUAAGCUGAGGCCGACAGGCGUAGGCGAUGGAUAACAGGUUGAUAUUCCUGUACCACCUAUAAUCGUUUUAAUCGAUGGGGGGACGCAGUAGGAUAGGCGAAGCGUGCGAUUGGAUUGCACGUCUAAGCAGUAAGGCUGAGUAUUAGGCAAAUCCGGUACUCGUUAAGGCUGAGCUGUGAUGGGGAGAAGACAUUGUGUCUUCGAGUCGUUGAUUUCACACUGCCGAGAAAAGCCUCUAGAUAGAAAAUAGGUGCCCGUACCGCAAACCGACACAGGUAGUCAAGAUGAGAAUUCUAAGGUGAGCGAGCGAACUCUCGUUAAGGAACUCGGCAAAAUGACCCCGUAACUUCGGGAGAAGGGGUGCUCUUUAGGGUUAACGCCCAGAAGAGCCGCAGUGAAUAGGCCCAAGCGACUGUUUAUCAAAAACACAGGUCUCUGCUAAACCGUAAGGUGAUGUAUAGGGGCUGACGCCUGCCCGGUGCUGGAAGGUUAAGAGGAGUGGUUAGCUUCUGCGAAGCUACGAAUCGAAGCCCCAGUAAACGGCGGCCGUAACUAUAACGGUCCUAAGGUAGCGAAAUUCCUUGUCGGGUAAGUUCCGACCCGCACGAAAGGCGUAACGAUUUGGGCACUGUCUCAACGAGAGACUCGGUGAAAUCAUAGUACCUGUGAAGAUGCAGGUUACCCGCGACAGGACGGAAAGACCCCGUGGAGCUUUACUGUAGCCUGAUAUUGAAAUUCGGCACAGCUUGUACAGGAUAGGUAGGAGCCUUUGAAACGUGAGCGCUAGCUUACGUGGAGGCGCUGGUGGGAUACUACCCUAGCUGGGUUGGCUUUCUAACCCGCACCACUUAUCGUGGUGGGAGACAGUGUCAGGCGGGCAGUUUGACUGGGGCGGUCGCCUCCUAAAAGGUAACGGAGGCGCUCAAAGGUUCCCUCAGAAUGGUUGGAAAUCAUUCAUAGAGUGUAAAGGCAUAAGGGAGCUUGACUGCGAGACCUACAAGUCGAGCAGGGUCGAAAGACGGACUUAGUGAUCCGGUGGUUCCGCAUGGAAGGGCCAUCGCUCAACGGAUAAAAGCUACCCCGGGGAUAACAGGCUUAUCUCCCCCAAGAGUUCACAUCGACGGGGAGGUUUGGCACCUCGAUGUCGGCUCAUCGCAUCCUGGGGCUGUAGUCGGUCCCAAGGGUUGGGCUGUUCGCCCAUUAAAGCGGUACGCGAGCUGGGUUCAGAACGUCGUGAGACAGUUCGGUCCCUAUCCGUCGUGGGCGUAGGAAAUUUGAGAGGAGCUGUCCUUAGUACGAGAGGACCGGGAUGGACAUACCUCUGGUGUACCAGUUGUCGUGCCAACGGCAUAGCUGGGUAGCUAUGUGUGGACGGGAUAAGUGCUGAAAGCAUCUAAGCAUGAAGCCCCCCUCAAGAUGAGAUUUCCCAACUUCGGUUAUAAGAUCCCUCAAAGAUGAUGAGGUUAAUAGGUUCGAGGUGGAAGCAUGGUGACAUGUGGAGCUGACGAAUACUAAUCGAUCGAAGACUUAAUCAA
rnacentral:rRNA from 1 species